rnacentral:ncRNA from 2 species
AUACCGGACGAUGGAACAGGUGCCCUGUUUAGGGGUAAAAGGGAAUCAGGUUAAAGGCCUGAGCGGUCCCGCCACUGUAACCGUGAGUCUGCGGCAAUUGCCACCCUUUUGGGGGAAGGCGCCGCCAGGCGAUGAUCGGAAGCCAGGAAACCUGCCUGUGCCAGCCGUAUCGU